rfam:Halopiger xanaduensis SH-6 plasmid pHALXA01, complete genome.
AGAUAACUCAGAGUCCCCCGACCGGGGAUAUGAGUAACGGCUGGUUGGCCCAGCCCGGAGUCUUCCUGUUCGACCGCGAGAGCGGAUGGUUCACACCGAGAGAACAGGGAGACUGCAAACCGUAAUAUCCCAACGCUCGGGAAUCCCACCCCUUCAGGGGUGGGA